rnacentral:rRNA from 1 species
AAACUAGGAUUAGAUACCCUAUUAUUUUAAGUUUAUUUUUAAAGUAGUAAAUUAUGUUUUUUAAACUUAAUUUUUCUGGCGGUUCACUACUCUAACAGGAGGAGCUUGUCAAAUUAGAUUGAUAACCCGCUUUUAUUUUCACCAUUGGUUUAUCUUAUGUACGGCUGUUAAGCUUUAAGAUUUAGCUUAUUGUUUUAACUUUUAAAAGCUUAGUUCAGGUCAAUGUGUAGACUAUGCUGUGGAUUUUAAUGAGCUACUUUUAUUAGUUUUAGUAUUUGUCUUCUUUUUAAAUUGGAUUUGUUAGUAAAGCUGAAAUAAAACUUUAGCUUGGUGUAGACUUUUGGUGGAAGUACAUAUCGCCCGUCACUCUUUUGAUAGAUAAGUCGUAACAUAGUA